ACCCCUGUGAGAAUGCCCCCAACCCUCUUAUGAGAUCGAGGAGCUGGUAUCAGGCACACAAUGUAGCCCAAAACACCUUGCUCAGCCACACCCCCAAGGGAUUUCAGCAGUGAUAAACAUUAAGCCAUAAGUGUAAACUUGACUUAGUCAAAGUUAACAGGGCCGGUAAAACUCGUGCCAGCCACCGCGGUUAUACGAGAGGCCCAAGCUGACAGACAUCGGCGUAAAGAGUGGUUAGGUAAUUAAAAAACUAAAGUUCAACAUCUUCCAAGCUGUUAUACGCACCCGAAAAAAUGAAAAUCUAACACGAAAGUUACUUUAAAACCCUGAACCCACGAAAGCCAUGGAACAAACUGGGAUUAGAUACCCCAUUAUGCAUGGCCGUAAACAUUGAUGUAAAAAUACCCAACAUCCGCCUGGGAACUACAAACACCAGUUUAAAACCCAAAGGACUUGGCGGUGCUUUAGACCCCCCUAGAGGAGCCUGUUCUAGAACUGAUAACCCCCGUUAAACCUCACCCUCCCUUGUUUUUCCCGCCUAUAUACCGCCGUCGUCAGCUUACCCUGUGAAGGAGAAAUAGUGAGCAAAAAUAGUAUAACUCAAAACGCCAGGUCGAGGUGUAGUAUAUGAGAGGGUAAGAAAUGGGCUACAUUCGCUUACUAACGAACUACGAAUAAUCUGUUGAAACACAAAUUUGAAGGAGGAUUUAGCAGUAAAAGGAAAAUAGAGUGUCCCUUUGAAACCGGCCCUGAAGCGCGCACACACCGCCCGUCACUCUCCCCUAAAACACCAUCAAAACUUAAAUAAAACAACUAAAAAAUAAAGGGGAGGCAAGUCGUAACAUGGUAAGUGUACCGGAAGGUGCACUUGGAAUAC
rnacentral:ncRNA from 1 species